rnacentral:rRNA from 1 species
UCGACUUCCUCCCUGCUGUCGGCCGACACACACAUCAGUGCUUCACGAGCUUUCGACGUGUCGCAGAUGUCGUCGGCGAUGAAGUCCCCGAAAACGCGGUUGCUUCAGGAACAUGACGGUGGCGGAAUCGCUGACGAUCAUCGAGACAGUGUUCUCGUCACUGAACAUGUCGUUGAACUCGAAGCCGAGGCCACUGAAGAAUGCACGGGUAGCGACGACGUCCUUGACCGGCAUGUUGACGAAGAGAAGACGAGACAUUGGGUGCUCCUUGAACUCGGUUGACUGAUUACUGAACGCUUCGGUUCCUGUUGGUUCCUGCUCAUACAGACCGCAGUGGGCGCAGAAAGUCAUCGCGAGAAGCAAAAAUUCGAGAAAAGUAUCGCCUGUUAACCGGCGCCAGUGCUCUGACCUGGCGAUUUGGUGUUGUGUUGAUCUUCGCCGUAACUUUGUCCAGGUCAGAGCGACACGGACACCGACUCCCACCUGCGAGGGUGAGUGACACGAGGUUGUACGAAGUGCCUGGCGAACACAAUCCAGUUUUUCUUCUCGGGUUCCGGUUUGCGCCGGUGGCCAGGUUGGGAUAGGCUGGGAAAGUUGCCCCGGAGCGGCGGCCGUAGGGUCGUGGUGAUGGUGUGUGCGUGUUCUUUGAGAACUCAACAGUGUGUCGAUGAAUGUCAGUGCCAAAUAUUUUUUGGUACUUCACAUCCGCGAAUGAUCAACCGCCUCUUGGGGUUUGGUUGGUUUGUGUGUGGUGUGAGUAUUUUUUCGUCGGUAUUGUUCAUUCUUCCGUCUGAAUGGUUGCCGACACAUUUUUUGCUAGUUGAGUUUUUUGCUAGUGAUUUGACUCUUUUUGUCUAUGACUGAUUAGCCGGCCUUCGGGUUGGUGAUAUCUAGAGUCU